CUUCAACACUUUCGAGCAGCCCGCGUCGUAUAAAAGUGUCGCCGCCCUGAGAACAGUAUUCAGUAGCUCACGAGAAGUCACCUGAAGUUCACGAUGAGAUUCCUGAUCGCUUUCGUCGCCUUGAUCGGCUAUGCCGCAGCCAGCGCCAUCCUGUCCCCCGUGGUCUACGGCGCCAACGCCGGAGAUGUGCAGGCUGCUGUCAUCAACGCCAACGUAGCCGCUCGGGACACAGUCCGGGCGAUCGGCGAGGGACAGGUCCGCGCCGCCGAAGCCAACCGUGACCUCCACGAGAACGCCUACUGGGGCAGCGUUGCCGCAUCCCAGAACUACGUGGCUGCCGCUCAGAACCAAGCCGCCGCUAUCGACGGAGUCGCAGCUGCCGUCCGCGCCGGUCAAGUAGCCAGUCCCUACAUUGCCUCCCCCUACGGCAUUGGCCCCCUUGGAAUUGCUUCCCCCUACACCACUUUAGGCGCGUAUGGUCUUGGUCUCCGCGCCUGGUAAUCAACCAGCUUUAACUAAACACCAUCCAUCCCGUUUAUGGUUGGGUUCGACAGCCACCUCAAAUGAUUCGCUCAAUCACACAUAUUUGACAUAACUCUCUUUAUAAUUAAGUCAAUCGGAAGCCAUCACAGCCAAAUUGUAAAUAAAACGACGAAUCCAAAUA